AUCUCGAUUCAUAUAUAAUAUAUUUACUUAACCUAUUUGACUGUUUCCGAGAUGCGCCGAAAGUGAGAAACCUCAUCGCCGAUGAAAGAGAACGAAUUUUCUCCCAUCGCUAAAUCAUCGCCGGAGUCUCCUGUUCACCAAAUACAUGACCGGAGGCCUGUGUUGUGGAAUAGGACGUGGAUCGCUGGUCGCUGGUUUUUGCUGGUGUUUCUGGGUUGUUUUGUAGUUUGUAUUAACAUAUGUUGCUUUUAUCUCCUUAUUAAGUACAAUCCAGAAGACAUAUUUUAUGGCGUUCUUUGUAUGUUGCUUUUAAACAUUUCAUGUGGUGGUGUUUUGGUUGGACAAGCUCGAGAGUUGGUUGAAGAUUCAAAGACGGUAAAUGAUGUCCCUUGGUGGUGUUAUGGAUGCAGAAGCCCGAGCCCCUUGAAAUUAAACUCGCAGUAGAGUGUCGGCUUUAACAUUUCAUGUGGCGUGUUUUGGUUGGACAAGCUCGAGACUUGGUUGAAGAUUCAAAGACGGUAAAUGAUGUCCCUUGGUGGUAUUAUGGACGCAGAUGCCUGAGCCUCUUGAAAUUAAACUUGCAGUAGAAGUGUCAAUGAAUGAAGUCCAUGGAACGAUAUUUCAGAUACAAUGUUCAGAAUGUUUAAUGUUAUAACAUUCCUAGCUACUACCCUAGACUGUAGUUAUGUUUGUUUUAUAUACUUAUGUAUAUAAGGAAGAAGAAGUGUCUGUAGUAAAUUUAGUUUGAUUGUAAGAACCCGUACAGGUUCGCACUACCAAAUAGAAAAAAUAGUUUCGCAUCUCAUAA